rnacentral:ribozyme from 1 species
CAUACGUAGUGGAAAGUAAUGGGAUGGGAUCCGAAGCCCCAUUGAGGGAUAAUACAGGCUCUCCCAUCCAACUCCUAUUCCGACACGUUCUCGUCGUGCAGAGUGGUAACGUGUGCCUCCACAUAUCCAAGCUUGGGUACACGGGCUUGACCCAACCCCUUGGGCGUAUCCCGGGAAACGUCGGGGGGGGGGGGG